rnacentral:rRNA from 1 species
UACGUAGGGUGCAAGCGUUAAUCGGAAUUACUGGGCGUAAAGCGUGCGCAGGCGGUUCUAUAAGACAGAUGUGAAAUCCCCGGGCUCAACCUGGGAACUGCAUUUGUGACUGUAGAGCUGGAGUACGGUAGAGGGGGAUGGAAUUCCGCGUGUAGCAGUGAAAUGCGUAGAUAUGCGGAGGAACACCGAUGGCGAAGGCAAGCCCCUGGACCUGUACUGACGCUCAUGCACGAAAGCGUGGGGAGCAAACAGG